rnacentral:rRNA from 1 species
GACGAACGCUGGCGGCGUGCUUAACACAUGCAAGUCGAACGGAAAGGCCCUGCUUUUGUGGGGCUCUCGUGUGGCGAACGGGUGUGUAACACGUGAGUAACCCCCCCUUGUCUUUGGGAUAACUUCAGGAAACUGGGGCUAAUACCGGAUAGGAGCUCCUGCUGCAUGGUGGUGGAUGGUAAGUUUCGGCGGUUGGGGAUAGACUCGCGGCUUAUCAGCUUGUUGGUGGGGUAGUGGCUUACCAAGGCUUUGACGGGUAGCCGGCCUGGGAGGGUGACCGGCCACAUUGGGACUGAGAUAGGGCCCAGCCUCCAACGGGAGGCAGCGGGGGGAAAUAUUGCACAAUGGGGGGAAGCCUGAGGCGGCAACGCCGCGUGCGGAAUGCCGGCCUUCGGGUGGAAAACCGCUUUCGCCUGUGACAAGGCGUGAGUGACGGUAAUGGGUAAAGAAGCACCGGCUAACUACGUG